AGUGAACGCUGGCGGUAGGCCUAACACAUUCAAGUCGAACGGCAGCACAGUAAGAGCUUGCUCUUACGGGUGGCGAGUGGCGGACGGGUGAGGAAUACAUCGGAAUCUACUUUUUCGUGGGGGAUAACGUAGGGAAACUUACGCUAAUACCGCGUACGACCUACGGGUGAAAGCAGGAGAUCUUCGGACCUUGCGCGAUUGAAUGAGCCGAUGUCGGAUUAGCUAGUUGGCGGGGUAAAGGCCCACCAAGGCGACGAUCCGUAGCUGGUCUGAGAGGAUGAUCAGCCACACUGGAACUGAGACACGGUCCAGACUCCUACGGGAGGCAGCAGUGGGGAAUAUUGGACAAUGGGCGCAAGCCUGAUCCAGCCAUACCGCGUGGGUGAAGAAGGCCUUCGGGUUGUAAAGCCCUUUUGUUGGGAAAGAAAAGCAGCAGGUUAAUACCCCGCUGUUCUGACGGUACCCAAAGAAUAAGCACCGGCUAACUUCGUG
rnacentral:rRNA from 1 species